rnacentral:rRNA from 1 species
AGACCCGAAACCCGGUGAUCUAGCCAUGGGCAGGUUGAAGGUUGGGUAACACUAACUGGAGGACCGAACCGACUAAUGUUGAAAAAUUAGCGGAUGACCUGUGGCUGGGGGUGAAAGGCCAAUCAAACCGGGAGAUAGCUGGUUCUCCCCGAAAGCUAUUUAGGUAGCGCCUCGUGAAUUCAUCUCCGGGGGUAGAGCACUGUUUCGGCUAGGGGGCCAUCCCGGCUUACCAACCCGAUGCAAACUGCGAAUACCGGAGAAUGUUAUCACGGGAGACACACGGCGGGUGCUAACGUCCGUCGUGAAGAGGGAAACAACCCAGACCGCCAGCUAAGGUCCCAAAGUCAUGGUUAAGUGGGAAACGAUGUGGGAAGGCCCAGACAGCCAGGAUGUUGGCUUAGAAGCAGCCAUCAUUUAAAGAAAGCGUAAUAGCUCACUGGUCGAGUCGGCCUGCGCGGAAGAUGUAACGGGGCUAAACCAUGCACCGAAGCUGCGGCAGCGACGCUUAUGCGUUGUUGGGUAGGGGAGCGUUCUGUAAGCCUGUGAAGGUGGCCUGUGAGGGUUGCUGGAGGUAUCAGAAGUGCGAAUGCUGACAUAAGUAACGAUAAAGCGGGUGAAAAGCCCGCUCGCC